rnacentral:rRNA from 1 species
GUUUACAGCCAUGCCACCCCUGAACAAGCCCCAUCUCGUCUGAUCUCCGAAGCUAAGCAAGGUCGGGCCUGGUUAGUACUUGGAUGGGAGACUAUCUAGGAAGACCAGGUGCUGUUGGUG